rnacentral:rRNA from 1 species
GGCGGCAUGCUUUACACAUGCAAGUCGAACGCGAAAGGGGGGCAACUCCUGAGUAGAGUGGCGAACAGGUGAGUAAUACAUCGGAACAUAUCCUGUAGUGGGGGAUAACCCCGAGAAAUCGGGGCUAAUACCGCAUACGACCUAAGGGAGAAAGCGGGGGACCGCAAGGCCUCGCGCUAUAGGAGUGGCCGAUGUCGGAUUAGCUAGUUGGUGGGGUAAAGGCCCACCAAGGCGACGAUCCGUAGCUGGUCUGAGAGGAUGAUCAGCCACACUGGGACUGAGACACGGCCCAGACUCCUACGGGAGGCAGCAGUGGGGAAUUUUGGACAAUGGGCGCAAGCCUGAUCCAGCAAUGCCGCGUGAGUGAAGAAGGCCUUCGGGUUGUAAAGCUCUUUCGGCCGGGACGAAAUCGCUUCCAUGAAUACUGGGAGUGGAUGACGGUACCGGAAGAAGAAGCACCGGCUAACUACGUGCCAGCAGCCGCGGUAAUACGUAGGGUGCGAGCGUUAAUCGGAAUUACUGGGCGUAAAGCGUGCGCAGGCGGUUUCGUAAGCCAGACGUGA